UCUCCCUUUCAACCACAACCACUUGUUUAUGCCCUUCAAAUACUCUUGACCAUUGCUUUAAAAUUACCGCAAAUUAAUUCAAUUACUUCGUCAAUCAAUUCCAUUUUUCUUGUUAUAAUAAUGACGAACCCAUUACAAAUAUCAUCAGGAGAAUUCAUAUUGCAUCCCACAUCAAUGAGAUAUCUCGACAUAGAUGCUAUCCUCUCAAACGUUUUUUUUACACCAUAAGGAAAAAGGUAUUCUAAUACACUGUAACUUUACCACUCUUUCCUCAACCUUGAAUUCAGGGUACCAUGGUUUGAUAUCCAUAAGCCACUGCUGAAGCCAUUUCCAUCCAUCACUCUCCAUUGCCUCUCAAACUUCUUCGUCGUCGAAUUCAAUUAGAAAAUAUUCUGCAGAUAAUCUUACCGAUCGAACAAUGAAUAUUCCUUGAGCUCUGAAGUUUGAUACCAGCCAGUCCACAUCAAAGACACCUCAGGCUUUACCAAUAACGCUUGUUUCUAGAGCUUGUAGUUUUCCUCCAUCCACUUCAACUAGACAACUCCUGAGCUGAUUAAUUUUGUGAGUCUCACCAAUCGUGUCCCUCUAAGUAGUAGCCUGAUCAUUUCGUCUCAUUGUAGUAUUGUCAACUUCCUCGUAACUUUUCACCUUCCUUCUCCAAUACGUCGUUCGGUUUCCGAAUUUCGCCAGAUUAACCCCAAUUCGUUUAUCCAAUAUUAGAGAACCAUUCAAACGUCUCAUUGCCCUCACAACCUCAUUUUUGAAAUAAAUCUCAGAAAUGCAAAUUUCUUCCUUGUUCUUCUCCGUUUCUUGGGAAUAACAACAUCAACAACCUUGCCAUAUUUCCCCAAGAUCGAUCUAACCCAUCUGCAGUUUUUCCUGUCUAGGAGGUUAUUUACGAAUAAAUAAGUUGGCCUCAUGAUAAUAGCGUUGUUAGGACCUGAUGUGUAACUUGUGUUGAGAAUUAGUAAACAAGAAUCCGUUCCAAUGUUUCUAUGUUCACUUGUUCUUGAGCCCCCACUUCCCAUGACUUUGAGCCGUCAUUUUCAUGUCCUUUAUAAGCA
rnacentral:lncRNA from 1 species